UUUGGAAGUCUUUUUGUGUCUGACAUAUAUUGUUUUUCAGAUUUUUUUACAGAGUUGUUUUUCCCGUUACAAUGCAUAAGCUCUUUUGCUAGUUAGUUGUAAAGUUACCAAGAACUCCAGAAGUCGAAAAAAGGGAACAGUGCAAAGACGCAGGCUCUCCAGGUAACAAGUACGAUAAUCAAAUAUGCAAUCCUUGCAUAAUGUGCCGCUACCCAUGCCAGACCACGCUAUUUCACAUAAUUCAGAUAUCCCCUCUUGCCAUCAGGCACAUUUACACAUCAAACAUGCAAGUUUACACGGACAACAUCUAUUGCACUCACACAAAUGUAGCAGAGUUACUCCUCAGAAAUUAUGAUCAUAAAGUCAGCCUGCUCAAUGCUCACGCUUAAGUAUAUAUGCUGAUGAUCACGCCUUCUAUCAGGUCAAGUCAAGGAGCGUCGCCAGGGCUAUUUGCGCCUGACCUGGCGUUCCAGAUAUCACGAUGGUACUGUCACUGGACUCUUGUGGACGUUGAGCAUUAAUGGCAAUGUCGGCACCAGAGAUCUGGAGAAAAAACAAAUGUUGGGAACCAAAAUUGGUUAUUCCCAAAAUAUUAUUUUAACAUGUGUAUAGCUCUGUAAAAGUUAUGGACACACACUAGAGAAUCCAGUAAUACUGUAACUUACAAGACAGCAUGAAGAAUCCUUGUAGUAAUGCCAUUAGAAAAAAAUAAAUUUGACAAUAAUAUUAAAGGGCAAAGCCUUUAUCGGUAACUGGCCAACAACUCUAUUUCCAAAUUUUAAGAGAUCUCAACUUUUAUGCUAUACUUCGUUCACAAAUAUAAGAUGUUUUGGAUAUUUUACUAUGGAUUUUAAUAUGGAUUACAUAUGAAGUGAAAUGAGUGAACAAACACAUUAAAACAUAUACAUCCAAUUCACAAAAAAGUAAGAACAUCUUAUAUUUGUGAACAGAGAGAGUACUACUUUACAAAUUUAUUAGUUACCUACUCCAGAUAGAUAUCACCAACCCAAAGUAUCUGUGACGCCCUCGAUUUAACCGUACACUAAUCAUACAUGUAAAUGUGUACGAUCAAGAUCAAGAAAUCACGGGAACAUAUCACAACACAAUUGUAGACACAAUUAAAAUAAUACAUGCUUUAUAUUACAAGUCAGGGGCCUCGAGGGCUCGAAUACAUAAGCUCGAAUACACAAGAGUCAGUGGAAGCAAUAAUAUCUGAGUACAGACAUAAGUUAAACAAAAUUGCCUUAAGAAGGCUAGCACAAACUAGGAUACAUAUCGAAAGAGACGCAGGCCUCCUGCCUGGGAUCAUCCUAAACUACUCCUGGUCAUCGUCAGCGGCCUGCACGUAGUAGUAGGCACCUCCAGUGUAGUAGGAGUCAUCGUCGACGAUGGCGUCUGGCUCUUGGGAUCCAACGUCUGGUCGCAACAACCGGGUAUAGAAAGGGGAAAAGGGGGAGCUAAGCAACCGUGAGUAUUCAUCCAAAGUACUCGCAAGCAAGGAGCUACACUACAUAUGUAUGCAUUGAUAUCAAAUGGAAAAGGGUAGCAUAUGUGGACUGAACUACAGAAUGCCAAAAUAAGAGGGGGAUAGCUAGUCCAAUCGAAGACUGUGCUUCUGGCAGCCUCCAUCUUGAAGCAUAUAGAAGAGAGUAGAUGAUAAGUUCACCAAGUAUCAUCGCAUAACAUAAUCCUACCCGACGAUCCUCUCCUCGUCGCCCUGUGAGGGAGCGAUCACCGGGUUGUAUCUGGCACUUGGAAAGGUGUAUUUUGUCAAGUAUCCAGUUCUAGUUGUCAUAAGGUCAAAGUACAACUCCGGGUCGUCCUUUUACCAAGGGAUACGGCUAUUCGAAUAGAUAAACUUCCCUGCAGGGGUGCACCACAUUUCCCAACACGCUCGAUCCCUUUUGGCCGGACACACUUUUCUGGAUCAUGUCCGGCCUCGGAAGAUAAACACGUCAUAGCCCCACCUAGGCACAACAGAGAGGUCAGCACGUCGGUCUAAAUCCUAUGCGUGCAGGGGUCUGGGCCCAUCGUCAAUUGCACACCUGCACGUUGCGUACGCGGCCGGUGAGCAGACCUAGCAACCUCCAUUACAAAGGAAGUUGCGUUACGCGGGCCAACCCGGCGCGCGCCGCUCAGCCGCUGACAUCACGAAGGCUUCGGCUGAUACCACGACGUCGAGUGCCCAUAACUGUUUCCGCGUAGUUGGUUAGUGCGUAUAUGCCAGUGGCCAGACUCAGAUCAAAUACCAAAAUCUCGGUAAACGUGUUAUCUUGAAGUAACCGUGAACGCCGACCAGGGCCAUGUCCACCUCUCUCAUGGGUGGUCUCAACCUGCCAUGUUGCUCCGCCACAAAGAUCCACAUAGAGGGCCGUCGAGAAAGUAUGUCUUUUCAGCCUCCAAUUCAUGAAUCAACCGCCGGUACUCAACGAGCCUACCUGACUUUAGUCACAACAUGUAGCAUGUGUAAUAUGUAUAGUAUAUACCCGUCAUCAACAGCCGACGUGAUCACGGCCCGAUAGUAUAGCAUGGCAGACUGACAAGAAUGUAGGGUCACUGAUGAUAAACUAGCAUCCUAUACUAAGCAUUUAGGAUUGCAGGUAAAGGUAACAACAGUAGUAGCAAGGACAGGCUAUGCAACAGAAUAGGAUUAACGUAAAGCAGUAACAUGCUACACUACUCUAAUGCAAGCAGUAGAGAGAAGAAUAGACGAUAUCUGGUGAUCAAGGGGAGGCUUGCUUGGUUGCUCUAGUAAGUAGGGGUCGUCAACAACGUAGUCGAUCGGGGCACCAGCAACGGCGUCAGUCUCGUAGUCUACCGGAAAGAAGAGGGGGAAGAAACAAUGAAUACAAUGCAAAUAGAUGCAUAAUGAUGCAUGGCAUGACAACAAACGGUCCUAGGCGUGCCCUAACGCGGUAGGAGGUGAUACCGGCGAAGGGGGAAAACAACCGGGAAAGUAUCCCCGGUGUUUCGCGUUCUCGGAUAGAUGAACCGGAGGGGGAAAGUUGCUUGUUCGCUAUGCUAGGGAUGGCUGGCAGACGAACGGGCUACGUAUUCGAAUUCGUCUCGCCGUUCUGAGCAGCUUUCAUGUACAAAGUUUUUCCAUUCGAGCUACGGUUCAUUUUAUAAUAAUUUUAAAAGAUUUAAAUCAUUUUUAGCAUUUAUUUAAUUAUUUUAAAUCAACAAUAUCCAGAAUAGAGCUUGCUGACAUCACCGUGACGUCAGCAGUCAACGGGGCGUUGACUUAGUCAACUGACGUGUGAGUUCCACAUGUCAUAUAUUGUUAGUUAAUUAACAAUAGUUAGUUAGGUUAAUUAGUUAAUUAGGCUAAUCUAAUCAGGAUUAAUUAAGUUAAUUAAUUCUUUAAUUAAUUAAUUCAAUUAUUAUUUAUUUAAUUAUUUAAUUCCUUUUUAAAAAACGUUCUAAGGGCGUGGGCCCCAUCUGUCAAUGGGCCAAAGGCCAUAGCGGGUUUGGGCGGAUAUGGGGCGGAGCCAGGCGCGGGCAUUUGGCGCCCGAUUGGGGGAACCUGGGCGCUAGCUCGGCGAGGCCAACGGUGCAGCCCUCGGCUCCCACGACGCCGGCCAAGGGACGCGGCGGAGGCCUGCAGGCGGCGCGGUGAGGCCGCAGCGGCAGGCGGAGCAGAGACGGGGCUCGGCGCUAUGCACAACGGGGUGAUGGCCAGAGGCGCGGUGCAGCGGGGGAAGCAGGGCGGUGGCGCGGCGCGCGGUGAGCGAGCAACCCAGGCGAGGCGCGUCGGCAUGGGGUGACGGGGUCGCAGCAUGCGCCUGCAGGUCGGCCAGGGGGUGCGGUCGGCGCGAGGGGCGACGGGCACGGGCGGUGGUAGGCGAGGUCGGAGCGGGACGGCCGUGGGCGAGCUGUUGGCGGUAGCAGUCGCAGCGGAGAGCGGGGACGAAGAGGCGUGGUUGGGCGCGUGGCCUAGACGGGCGGGGGCGCGGUCGAGCGCGGCAACCGCGGUGCGGGGGCACGGCCCGCGGCGGUGCGUGCGUGCGGCGCACAAGCUUGCGGCAAGAGCGAGCGGGGCGAUGGCCAGCAGAGGCCGCGGCACACGGCGUCAGGGGAGGGGAGAGGAGGCGCAGAGCGCGAAUUCGGGGCUGGGUGGUCGGACCGGAGCGAACCGUCGAGGCGAGCACGGCGGGUGCGAGCAGCUACGGCUCGCGGUCAGGACGCGGCCAAGGGUGUGCGCGAAGUGCCGCGAUCGCGGCGACGGAUUGGGGGCGCGUGUGCGUGGAAGACAGAGAGGAGAGGGGAGUUUCGCUCACCCCCGAUGCAGGGGUUCACCGACGAUCCGCCGGGGAGGAGGUCGGGGAGGCGAGCGUCGACGGCAUGCGGCAGGGCGUCAGGGAUCGGCUUGAUCCGCGCGAGGCAGGGGUCCCGAGCUCCAUCGCGUCCACGUAGUCGACGAAGACGACGGAGGCCGUGCUCUCGAAGCAGUCUGAGACGGCCGGGAGGUCGUCGAGCGCAAGGAUGGCGGGGUCGGGGCGCCAUUGCCCCGAUCCAGAACGUGGGGGAAGAAGUGGGGAACGGAGGGGAGGAGUGAGGAAAAUGGGGAUCGAGCGAGGGGACCGACUAGGGUUAGUUCCCUGGUGGGGGCGGCUGGGCCGUUAGCUUUUCUAGAUGGGCCAAGAGCCCAAUAGGUUAGGGUAGGUUAGUUUGGUUUCCUUUGUUUUUUAUUUCUUUCUUUCAUUGUUUUAUAUUUAGAUUGUAUAGUAAAUAUAAUUAGUUGCCUAUGAAACUUAGGACAUAAAUAUUAGACCAUGUAAUGACCUAGCACAAGAAGUUUCAAAUAUAUUUGAAUAGCAUAAGUAUUUGUUUAUUUUUAAAAGGUUAAAUUAAAUGUUGUUUGUUCCUGUUUUGAUUAUCUUAGAGGCAUAUAAACAUUCCCAAAAUGUUGUUUGAUGUUUGCUAAUUUAUUAGUGAAUAUUUACAACCUUUUGAACAUUUUUAAUUCACUGUUUUAUGAAAUUAUAAUUUGAAUUGUUAUUUGAAUUUGAAUUUGAUCUCAGUUGAAACAAGUGAGGUUUAGCAAAAGUUCAAUUAUAAUGACCUAGCAUGAUUAGCUAGGCUUUACUGUAGCUUAAUUAUCCAGGCGUCAUAGCAUCACGCACUUCAAGUGUUCCACGAGUUGAAAUGAAAUGCCAGUCAUUGCCAAAGCAAACCAGUGCAGACAGUCAAGUUUCACGUUUAAACUUCAUGGAUUAGUAGCAGCAAAGCUGCCACUCCGUCCCGGCAGUACUUUGGAUAGGCAUGUACUUCGGCAAGGCACGUUCUCGGCCAUCAUGCUGGUAGCUUGAUGCAUCUGCAAGCACCGCAAUGCUCAGCUUAGCCUAGCUCGCUUGCUUGACACAAUCAAGGCGCAAGUUAGGCAAUGGGCGACUGCAGGCACAAAAGGUUUGGCGGCCUUGCUUCCGGCCAUGGCGGUGCUUACCGCUUAGUUGCGUUGUGAUGUUGUAAGCUUCGGGUGUGGCACUGUCUAGGGCUUGUACAAACUCUUAUUUCUAUCAAUGCAUCGAAAACGCAAGGCUUUUGUGUUUUCUCCAGAGAGAAAAUAUGAAUUUAAACAUGAAACUUGAAAUAUGUUUUCUUAAUGCUUGACUCAUUCAUUUUUAAUUCAGAACAAACGCACAAAACCAAUCAGGAUUUUUGCCAAAAUGAUGAGUUAAAUCUAAUGUAGUGAUGAAACAUAUAAAGUUAGAAUGUUCAGUAGCAAGACCAGUCUGAGAUGGGCCAGGAAAUUUUCCUCAUUUCCAUAGAGAAGGGAUAAAACGCCCUCACAAGCAGCAACCUUGUAUGACAUUCUAGUUACAACAGGAUCCUUGAUUAUCUGGUGACUAAAAGCAGAAGUUACAACAGUGAGAAAUCAAAUAGAAGUAACUAAUUCAUGCACGUUAAUAUACUCCCUCCGUUCCUAAAUAUUUGUCUUUUUAGAGAUUUCAGAAGCUAAAAUUUGUUCACGGCUGCAAAUUCAGAAGCUACUCUAUGAAACUAUUAUCCAGGACAAAUAAGUGGUUUGUUGAUCAGUUCCGAUUGUUAGCAGUGAACAAAUUUUGAGAAGGGCCAGGACAAGUAAAUCUGCUCACGGCUGCAAAUUUAUCACUGUAGUAAGAACUUACUCUUUGAAAAACUUCAACACAAAAUGAUAAAAGUAGUAAAGUUGUUGCAGGGAUACAUAGAUAGCACAUUCAGAAGCUAAAAUUUGUUCACUGCCAUGAGAUAACGGAACACUAAGUAAAUUGUGUUUUUUAUUUUUAAUGAAUUCCACUUUUUACCCCCAGGUUGUACAUCUGUGACAGAGUUUAGACAUCUAAAAUUUCCUGCCGCACUUUGCAACGAAGCUGUUACAUCGUGAAGUUUAACCCGAUUUAGCAAUUUUCCUAAAUUCUGACCGGCCAGUUCCACAUGUCAAGCCAGCAUGGCUGGUGCCAAGUAUUUCCACUUGGAAGCAUAGAGUUAAUCUUGUCAUAUACCAAAGAGAUGCAUGCAUGGGAAAAUGCAGAGGUCAAUUUGUAUUUGACUAAUCCAAGUGCAUGCAUGGAAGCAUGCGAGAAAAGAGCUGCAUACCUACUGAAGUAGAAAGGGGAUGCAAGUUAAUUAGCUAUGCAGCACGUGCAUGUCAGGCAAGAGGGGCAGGCUAGAGUAGGAGACAAGUUGAGUUUGGCAAAGUGCUGGAUGCUGCAUGGGCCGUGAACUAUAGAGGACAGCAGUAAAUUAGUUUGUACGUGAGUAGUGUAGCUAGCUAGACCUGAGCAUGAUGAGCUGUAAGCAUAAGUCGGUUGGAGGUUUAUGUCAGUUUGGAGCAGCCUAUAUAUUCAAAUGUAGUCCCUGUUGGAAAUAAUCAAACUUAUCCAAUGGUGGCCGGUUGAUUGCUUUUCUAGUGAUCUGCUUGUUUGAGUCUAACUAGGUUAGAUUAAUUAGUCCUUGUGUGUUUCCUUGUAUGGUUGUAUACGGUUUGGAAAGUGAAAAAGUUGAGUCUGGCUAGGAGUACGAGUCCAAAUAGUUUAGGUAGCCACGUUCAGGUAUAUCUCUAGCUUAGUCUGUCAUGAGAUUUGUGCCAUUGAAAAUCAAAGAGAUAUAAAGAGAAAAACAAAGGGCACGAUAUGGACCCUUGGGUAAAGUUUUUGUGCAUCUGCGUUUGUGAUAUUUUUUAUGUGAUCGUCUAUGGGUGAAUCUCAACAAUUGGUCUCAGAGCAAGGUCAAGGAUUUGAACCCGUGCAUGCGCAGGGGAGGCGGUCCCAACUAGGGGCCCUGAAGCAGGCCAUAUAGUCGCUGGAUGGUGCAGCGACGAGGAGGAUCGGGCAAUAGCCGUUCGGUGGAGCGACAAGGAGGACGAUGACGGGGAGGCUGUCAUCAGCAAGGCGGUGGAAGGAGAUCGUUGAUGGGAGCGGUGGUGCCGAGGUGUGUUACCUAAAGAUCUUGUCAAGAUCGUCAUCCAGAGUAGUUAGACGAGUCAAGAAGUCAUGUGAGUUUGCAUGUUCAACCCGCGUUGUGUCUGCGGGUCGGUUUUGUAUCACAGUACUAGUCCCCGUGAAGACUCGUUGGCGUUGAAGCGGUGUGCACGGUGUUCCAUGAGUCAUGUCCAUGUCCGCAUGGAGCGUCCUGGUUCCGGGCAGUGUGGAUUCGGUGGGAUUCCAAAGGCAGACAGUGGUGGGCGAAGCCAUCUUAAAGCGAGAGGGUAUGCGACAAGUAGAGGGUGAAUCUACUGCAAGCAAGUGCAAGAGAAGUAUUGAUGUGGAGCAUCCCACAUAUUUCACCAUGUCAAGUGCCCCAUCAUCAAGAGGCACACGCAUCUCCCACAUCAUACAUAUAAAGGUGAAUCUUCUCCUUUACAUGUGUCUACUUAGCUCUCUCGAGGAUGAUACACUAUUUGACACUCCUAUCUUGUGCACGUUUCGGUUUGAGACAAACAUCACACAUGGCAUGGAGGAGAUCAAGCACAAGAGAACGACUACAUCAUCCAAGAGGGAAGGAAGCAUGAAAGUAGAGAAGGAAUCGCGAGCACGAAGGCACGGACCGCAAACAUGGUGCCCAGAGGACAAAGGAGGACCAAAGCAUCCCAAAGGAAGGCUGCCAAGUCAGGACAUUCCGACAGGAUGUCCGACCCAACUUCCUACUUGGCGACCGCUCUUUGGACUCUACCGGAUGUUCUGAUAUCCAUGUCCAACAGGACAUUGGACAUCAGACAUUCUGACCUACGUCUGACUUGACAUCCAACUUUGCGCCAGCCCUCUGGACUCUGUCGGAUAUUGAACCGGACUUGGGUCAGAAUAUCCGACAUGUUAGACUGCCCGAAUUAAGUCGGAACAUCUGACCAUGCCUGCGCGCAUGUGUAUCAGACUGUCUGAAUUACUCCCUCUGUAAAGGAAUAUAAGAUCGCUUAGAUCACUAUACAGUUAUCUAAACGAUCUUACAUUUCUUCACAGAGGGAGCAAGUUGGAACAUCCAACCAUGCCUGCCACGUGUAUCGAGCCUAGCCCAUGUAUCUUCCCUUCCCCACUUACCCCUUGGUGGGUGCAGGGCCGUCUCCAAAAAUUUCGGGGCCCGGGGCGAGAUGACAAAUGGGGUUGUAAAUUUUUAAAAAUUCACAUAAUGAAGGACCAAAAUAAUUGAAGGAUAUACUAACACAACUAUUAAUUCAUAUAAACUUCUCAAGAUAAGAAAAUUGAAAAGGACCAAAUCUUGAAAUUUGAAAGAGUAACUACAUUGAAUAUCUUUGAUAUGUGAGUAACUAUCUUCAAAAGUUGUCCUAUCAAUCCAUUUGGAGUACAAAACAAUUCAUUUACUAAGAAUCUAUCUAAAUUCUAAAGUAUCAUUUAUAAGUGCCAACGCAGUAGUUUAUUAAAUAUGGUUACUUAAUCAAUCAACUCGUAGAAUUACCAAUUGAUUUUUCUAUCUGGGCAAGAGAGGAGCAUACCUGAGAGACGAACGGACGGACAAGGCAGACACAUCAGUUGAACACGGGAUUGGCGUCUAGGCCCUGACGUGUGGUAUGGCGAUCGGUUGCCGGCCAGCGGUUCGUAACCUCGUAUGGAGCAGCCGAGCAGGCGAUCUUGCGACGGGCGUGGCGAGGCAGGCGCAGGCGUCAGGUGAUCGGGGCCAGAACAGGGA
rnacentral:lncRNA from 1 species